ACGCACGCUGGCGGCGUGCUUAACACCUGCCAGUCGCACGGAAAGGCCCUGCUUUUGUGGGGUGCUCGAGUGGCGAACGGGUGAGUAACACGUGAGUAACCUGCCCUUGACUUUGGGAUAACUUCAGGAAACUGGGGCUAAUACCGGAUAGGAGCUCCUGCUGCAUGGUGGGGGUUGGAAAGUUUCGGCGGUUGGGGAUGGACUCGCGGCUUAUCAGCUUGUUGGUGGGGUAGUGGCUUACCAAGGCUUUGACGGGUAGCCGGCCUGAGAGGGUGACCGGCCACAUUGGGACUGAGAUACGGCCCAGACUCCUACGGGAGGCAGCAGUGGGGAAUAUUGCACAAUGGGCGGAAGCCUGAUGCAGCAACGCCGCGUGCGGGAUGACGGCCUUCGGGUUGUAAACCGCUUUCGCCUGUGACGAAGCGUGAGUGACGGUAAUGGGUAAAGAAGCACCGGCUAACUACGUG
rnacentral:rRNA from 1 species